rnacentral:rRNA from 1 species
GAUGAACGCUGACAGAAUGCUUAACACAUGCAAGUCGACUCGAGUCUUUGGACUUGGGUGGCGGACGGGUGAGUAACGCGUAAAGAACUUGCCUCAUAGUCUGGGACAACAUUUGGAAACGGAUGCUAAUACCGGAUAUUAUGCUUUCUUCGCAUGGAGGAAGUAUGAAAGCUAUAUGCGCUAUGAGAGAGCUUUGCGUCCCAUUAGCUAGUUGGUGAGGUAACGGCCCACCAAGGCGAUGAUGGGUAGCCGGCCUGAGAGGGUGAACGGCCACAAGGGGACUGAGACACGGCCCUUACUCCUACGGGAGGCAGCAGUGGGGAAUAUUGGACAAUGGACCAAAAGUCUGAUCCAGCAAUUCUGUGUGCACGAUGACGUUUUUCGGAAUGUAAAGUGCUUUCAGUCGGGAAGAAGCAAGUGACGGUACCGACAGAAGAAGCGACGGCUAAAUACGUGCCAGCAGCCGCGGUAAUACGUAUGUCGCAAGCGUUAUCCGGAUUUAUUGGGCGUAAAGCGCGUCUAGGCGGCAAGGAAAGUCUGAUGUGAAAAUGCGGGGCUCAACUCCGUAUUGCGUUGGAAACUGCCUUACUAGAGUACUGGAGAGGUAGGCGGAACUACAAGUGUAGAGGUGAAAUUCGUAGAUAUUUGUAGGAAUGCCGAUGGGGAAGCCAGCCUACUGGACAGAUACUGACGCUAAAGCGCGAAAGCGUGGGUAGCAAACAGG